UACGGAGGUGGCAAGCGUUGCUCGGAAUCACUGGGCGUAAAGGGCGCGUAGGCGGGGAGGUAAGUCGGGUGUGAAAUCCCUCGGCCCAACCGAGGAACUGCGCCCGAGACUGCUUCUCUUGAGUCCCGGAGAGGAAGGUGGAAUUCCCGGUGUAGCGGUGAAAUGUGUAGAGAUCGGGAGGAACACCGGUGGCGAAGGCGGCUCUCUGGGACGGUACUGACGCUGAGACGCGAAAGCGUGGGGAGCGAACAGG
rnacentral:rRNA from 1 species